AUUGAACGCUGGCGGCAGGCCUAACACAUGCAAGUCGAACGGUAACAGGAAGCAGCUUGCUGCUUUGCUGACGAGUGGCGGACGGGUGAGUAAUGUCUGGGAAACUGCCUGAUGGAGGGGGAUAACUACUGGAAACGGUAGCUAAUACCGCAUAACGUCGCAAGACCAAAGAGGGGGACCUUCGGGCCUCUUGCCAUCGGAUGUGCCCAGAUGGGAUUAGCUAGUAGGUGGGGUAACGGCUCACCUAGGCGACGAUCCCUAGCUGGUCUGAGAGGAUGACCAGCCACACUGGAACUGAGACACGGUCCAGACUCCUAAGGGAGGCAGCAGUGGGGAAUAUUGCACAAUGGGCGCAAGCCUGAUGCAGCCAUGCCGCGUGUAUGAAGAAGGCCUUCGGGUUGUAAAGUACUUUCAGCGGGGAGGAAGGGAGUAAAGUUAAUACCUUUGCUCAUUGACGUUACCCGCAGAAGAAGCACCGGCUAACUCCGUG
rnacentral:rRNA from 1 species